rnacentral:lncRNA from 1 species
ACCCUCUCAGUGUGCGGGUCAGGUGGCUGCAUUGCAGUUUCCACUUCCAGGAAUGGGGGACCUCGUAGAAAGGACCUGGUCCCUCAGGACCAGAAGCUCAGGGGUGGAGCUUUGGUUCGGCUGGAGGCAAAGCUGGCACCAGGGGUGCAGUAGGGAAGAGAUGUAAGUCUUCUGAGGAAUGCAUUUUUUUUUUUUUCUGUUCGAAUGAAGCCUGGUGCCUGGUUUCCCCCCAGCUCUGGCCCUACAGCUCCCCUUCCUGAGGACCCCAGUCUCAGGUCAUUUGACACUGUCCAGCCCUCUGGCCUGAAGAAACCCCAACAAAGCAGACCUGGAAGCUGAGGAGACAAAGCUGAGUGGGCAGACCUUGUCUGCAGACAGAGAUCUCUAGAGAAAACCUUUUCUCCUUGGUCCCUUGGAGCUCAGCUGAGGAAAGCCUUUAGGAGAAAGCAGAAACCAAGGAGGCCAUUUGGUGGUGGGGAGGGGGGGCAUCCGAGGUACCCCCUUCGCUGAUGCCCUGCCAUUCCUGGACUUCUUAGAGAGCAUUAAGGACAAAACCAGCUUAGCCUGUUAACAAGCAGGUGCUUCAGAGCCACACACCUGCCCCAGUGCCCAGAUGUGCAUGACCCAUGGGGCUGGAUGGUGCAGAGGAGAGUAAGACAGGCUAGCACCCCUCCCAACACACACACACACACACACGGGCUUCCGGGAAAGGGGUCACCACAAGCACACAGACCACAGCAGCCUCAGGUGGUAUCAGCUGAGGGCUUGAUAGAGGCAGGGCCUGGAGCAGCCAGUGGGGGGUGGUGAGACUUGUCCGGAGAGGCUCUGGCAAAUGCAGAGUGUUUACAUCUGUCUGCUUUCCUCCUGGUAGUUCCUGAUAAGCUCCCCAGGAACCACACACACACACACAUUUAUGGCCAUGCUGUGUGCACUGCCUCAGGGACAGGAUGUGACAACAGAAAGAGGAGAAAAUGUCUAAAAAGAAAGUCUUCCUGACCUCUGCAGUCCCAAAUUCCAACUCCUCAGAGAAAAGGAAGACAAGAAACAGACUUUGGGGGGGUUGUUUGGGGAAGACCAGCGAGGCUUGUCAGAGGCUCUGGGCUUGGGAGCAGAGCUGGGGCAGGGGGGUGUUAUGAGAUGUACAUAGACAUUGGUGGGACCCUGAGAAAGGGCCUUGACCCAGUUCUCUGGGACGAGCCCAGAGGAGGUGGCAAGGGUCCAGUGAGGAAGGGCCAAGGGGGCUGUCAGGCAGGUGGGCCUGUGCACCCCUGCAGGCAGCAAAAGUCCUGUGCCUGUGCCCUCUGUACUGCAGGGCUGUGCGAAGAGGGCGCAGCCCUGGUGGGGCCUUUUGGAUAAGAUGUGACGGACUGGGAAUGCCGGCGAUUGCCAGAUGGACAGCAGGCCUGGAGGAUCAAAUGAGCUCUGGCUUCCUCCAGUGUCCCAAGUAAGCCCACCUAGACUCAGGACCAGCCCAGGAAACUCUGGGGGACAAGGGGACAUGCUAGACUCCGAAUUGACAGGAUUAGGUGCCUGCCACCUCAGGGGAAUGGGGGCUGAAAUGUAGAAAGGAGGAUGAAUACAAAAAUCAAUCCUUGAACACCUGUAUAUUAUAGAAAUUCUAAGCUGCUGUGAGAGAGAAAACCCAGGCUCUAUAAGGGCAACCCAUGUAUAAUAAAAGGCUGCAGACAAAGAUCAACAAUAAACUGGGGGAAAUUGUAACCCAUUCAUAGCAAAAUUACUAAUUCCUUUCAUACGUGAAGAACUCCUAUAAAUCAGUAACACAGAGAUGGACCAUCGAUAGAUAGUUCAUAAAAACCAUAAAUAGGCAGUUUACAGAAAAAGAAAUACAAAUGACCUCAACAUUUGAAACAUAUUCCUAAACCGCAAUUAGAGAAAUGCAAAUUAAGAUUACAGUGAGAUCAUUUUUCACCUAUCAGAUAGGAGAUUUAUGAGCUUGACAAAGCCUGGUGCUGGUGAGAGCACAGGGAACCAGCUUCUCUCCAUGACUGUUGUCGGGAAGGUAGUUGGCACAGUCAUCGUGAGUGCAAGCUGGCAAUAUCUGUCAUGAUUAAAGUGCACCUUUUGUUUGGGCCUGCAGUUACCUUGUGGGUACAUCUCCACACGUCCACAAGGAUGUUUGUUCAAGGCUGUUCACAAUAGCAUUGUUUGUAGUGGCAAAGAAGUGGCAACAACCCAAAUGUCUACUUAUAGGAGACUAGAUACGUUAAUAUAUAAUUAUACAUCAAUGAAAUACUAAAAGGCCAAAAUGAAAAAGAUCUGCGUAUGUUGCUUUGGAAAGAUCUUGGCACUACAUUGUUAAUUUUUUAAGAAGCCAGGUGCAGAAAAGUAUGUAUAGUUGUCUUUCAUUUGCAUUUAAAAAAAGAAUCGAUGUGCGAAUAUAUGCAUGUUUAUGCCUGGACAUUUCUAAAGAGGCACCGAGGUUAAAUGAAUAUCCGUAUAUUCUCAUGGGAUAAUUUUGUACUGUUGAGUGGUGCAGCAUCUGUGGAGGUUUUAUUUUUAUAACAGCAUCAUGAGGCAAAUGGAGCAGGCAGGAGAGAAGGAGUAGUGGGAGGGAGGGCGAGCAAGCACUUCUGUGGGCUGAGGGCUGAGUGGGCGGCAGGUUUGUGCAUAGGGAAUUAACAUUUUCCACGUAGACAGCCCCAGACUUCAGGGACAGGGGAUGAGUCACACCUAUGACAAAAGUCCAUGACCUUCCAAAGACUGGCAUUGCUGUUGUGCUCCAGAACAGUUUAUCCUUUAGAAAGGAGCCCUGGAGAGGCUCCAGGCAGGCCUGGGCAGGACUGAUAAGGAUCUUAGCAGAAUCUACCCUAAACUCAAAGGUGAGCUCAGGAGUUCCCGUGGAGGCUCAGUGGUUAACGAACCCGACUAGUAACCAUGAGGUUGCGGGUUCAAUCCCUGGCCUCGCUCAGUGGGUUAGGGAUCCAGUGUUACUGUGAGUUGUGGUGUAGGUCACAGACGUGGCUCAGAUCCCACGUUGCUGUGGCUGUGGUGUAAGCCAGGAUCUGUAGCUCCAUUUCGACCUCCAUAUGCCACAAGUGUGGCCCUAAAAAGACCAAAGGACCCCCCCCAAAAAAAGUGAGCUCAGCAAAGAGUCUUAGGGAGUCAUUUUAGAUGCUUACUGUGAAGAAGGCAAAUACUUGCACAAAACAGAAGAAAUCCGAAGCCUAGUAAUAGAUGAGCAGUGAGGGAAUUAGAAACAUAAAUUCAAGCAAAGUCAAUUCAAUUCAAACAGGGAGAUCUCACUUUCCACCCAUCAAAUUUAGUAAAAAAUGUUAAGGAUUGCUACUAUUCAGUGUUGAUAGAGUAAUGGAAAAACAGGCACUAUCAAGCACCAUUGGGGAGAGUGAAAAUCACCCUAUGUUUUUUUGGAGAAAAAAUUAGGCAGGAACAACAUGUUAAAUGUUGAUUCACCCCGAUCCAGAAACCCUACUUUUGGGAACCUGCCCUCUGCCAUUCUCAUACAAGGCAUAUACUGCCAUGUCCAGCACUGCUGGGCAACGUGAGAUCCUGGAAGAGGGGCGGCGCAGCAUAAUAAAACACACAAGACUCUCUUACAUCUAGAAAGUGGGGGACCAGGAGGCACUCUGUUCUGCAGAACAACGGCGCCUAGGCCUUAGCCCACAUGACUUUCAUUAGGGAAGGUGACAUAGAUUCAUGAGCAAAAUCAGGUGCAGGUAAUGAUGGAGCUAUCUCUUAGUGGUUGUGCUUUUGCAGGUGCACCAAAUUUGCUUACUGCAUCAUUCAGCAGUUUCAAUGGUCUCAACAAUAUACAAGGAUGUUCAGCACCCUAUGGUUUAGCUAGCAAACUGGUAGAAACAGCAUCAAUGGCUAUCAAUCAGAGACUGGAUAAAGAGCUUCUCGUAAAGCCACACCACGGGAUCCUUAAAAUUGACAUACACUGGCAAGUGAAAGUUAAAAAGUCAAGAGCAUGGCAUAUAUAGUAUAAUAUAUGUAUAUGAAGUCCCUCCCAAAUCCUAAGACUACAUCAUAUGCAGAAACAGGUCUGGAAGGAUGUACACACACCAUACACAGAGUGAUUACCUCUGGGGAGGAAAGGGGAAUUGGAAGGGGGUGACAAAGAGGGACUAUAAACUGUACCACAUACAUUUCUGUGUUUUUGGGUUUUUAUUUAUUAUUUAUUUAUAGAUAAUGAGCCUGCAAUGAAUGUAUUACUUAGCUGCAGUAUGCACGGCCAUGGCUAGUAUAGACCCUGGCUUAAUAGCUACUAGCUGUGUAAGAGGCACAAAACUAAAUCUUAAUGAGCCUCACUUUUUUUUUCCAUAGAAAAAUAGGGCUCAUACUGUCUUGUUAUAAGGAUUAAACUCAUAGAAGCAAAACGCUUGGAACAGAGCCCAACCCAUGGGAAGUGUUCCAAUUAUAACUACUUGUGUAAUUAAACAUACUCUUUGUUUCACAAGUAGGAUGUGCCUGCUUGGAUGGAGAAUUCCACAGCCAGGAGGCCAAACACACCUGAUCAAGGGCUUGAGAAGGGAGGGAGAUACUCGCUAUAUAUGUUAGUGUCAAAAGGAGAUUAACAUCUCCUGGAGGGUGGGAAGCAGGCUAGGCAGACACAGAAGUUCUGCUCCCUGAACAGCAUCAGGCUGGUAUGGAAAGUUCUUUCUGUGGGACAUUAUCCUGGCAUGAUGCACUUUGAGGUGACCAGUGUCACUGUCCAAAGAGGGGGAGCCCAUCUGGUCCAUGAUAUGAACUCUUCUAGGGAGAUACUGAGGAGCAGAUGACUUUGGAGGAUGGACAUUUGUGUAUAGGAUGGCCCUGCAGGUUCUGGCCAAGAGACACUGGUACUCAAAGACAGGAGCUGCUGGAGCAAAGUCAGCUGGGCUUUAGACCAGGAAUCACUUGUGUAGACCUUGUGCUUUGGAGGCCCAUGCAGACUGCUGUGUUUCCAUCAGCAACAGAUUUCACUGAUAACUUUAAGGACAUUUAAAAUGUUUUGCCAAUUGAUGAUAUUUUCCUUACAUUAGGAUGACUUUUUUUUUUCCCCCUUCACAAACAGCAGGCUUCUAGAAAGGAAAUUCUUUAGAAGAGGUGAUCAACCCUUCUUGGAAUGAGGCUCUUAAAAUGUAUGCAGAGUUGGCAUCAGAAGAUAGACUAGAAUGAUCCAUGUGGUGCUGGUUUGGAGGUGGAGGCAUCAGAGGACUCAUGUUUAACUUACUAUAGACACAGUUACAUACAUAAAUAGUUAUAGAUGUGUAUCUGUACAGGCAGGUUAGUAAACAUAUGUUUGUCUUUGUCACCAGAGAAAUGACACUUUAGUAGCAAGGAGCACACCAAGCACCCAGAUUUUGGUUUCUACAACCAUUCUCCAAUAACAGGAACCAGGGCUCCUUGGAGUAUGGUCAGAUUCUAGGACUGAGGUGGGAAAUAUACAAGAUGAACCUGGAGCAUCUUAUAGUCCCAGAAAGUAAGGAAGUGCUCACAAAAUAAACAUAUCCAUAGGGGCAUGUCAAAGGGGCACAGCCAACUGAAAGAGCCCCCAGGGGCUCAGCUGGAGAUUUUUGAGCAGUACAAUAAAUAAAGUAGAAUUGGAUUAAGUCCCAAAUUCUAAAACAAGUCCAUAUUGAUACAAAUAAAUAAUUGAAUAAAUUUAUAAGUGGAGAAGAGAUAAUAUACUAUGCAGAACAAUUUAAAAACAGAAAUGUGUGCAAAGUCCACAAAUGUUCAGGUCAAUGUCUAGGCAGUUUUCAGGGUAAAAAAUAUAUAUAUACCUAGAUUUAUAUUCAUGUUACUUAUCUAUAAAGUAUUUUGCUGAGAAGACCUUCAAAAAUCUCAGGGAGGUGCCAUUUUUA